GCCACCGACAACCGCCAAACACACCAGCCACGACCCCCGGCCUGCUCGGCGGGACAGCACCUCUGCUCUUCUGCUACUCAGCUUGAGAUGAUGAGCACUGCUGAGGAGAGACUUCUAAUCCCCAACAGCUCUUAACACAAUAGACCUCAACCCCCGCUGAAGACUAGAUGCAAGACCGCCAAAAGUAAAUACUGUGGAUAUUUGUAGGGACUCGUAAAGCUCCUCUCAUGUUUCA